CUAAUCCUUUAGCAAAUUGGGAUUCACUGUGAUAUAACGAAACCAAACAUGCUACAACCUAUCCGCGAUCUUCACGAGAGCAUCCGCCAGCUUAUUGAGAACGCCGAGCAAUCCGUCCGCCUGAUCUUUCCUCAGAUCGAUCAGUCGAUGCUGGAGACCGAGCGUCUCCUCAUCCCCCGCUUCUGCUACUGGCCGUUUUCGCUUCCUCCCCUCUUCGGGACGGCGUUUGGACUCGGGGGCUGCGCUCGUGAGAUUCUCAUCCAACAUGCCUGCAGAGUAUUAUAAGUUAGGAGGGGAAAAAAAAAAAAGGAGUGGAAUGGAUAGUCUACUAUGAUCAACAUCAGAAGGGCCAAAGACUAAUGCCCGGACGGAUAACAAUUGACGGUAUAAUUAGAAUUGUUCCGUGCCAUGUAAUUGAAAGGAAAUAAAUUAGUCCGGCGGUGCGUAUAGAACCGUCGGACUUUAGUUGAAAGA